AGCAAACACAACCAACAACAGAUGGAAGCUAUCCAGGCCCAGCCUUUCCAACAAUUCUACCAACUUGAUGCUUUUCCUUUUGCCGCUUGGUAUUCUCUUCCACAAAUCAUGCAGUAUGUGGCUUUUCCACCAUCCUUCAUCGG